GAUGAACGCUAGCGACAGGCCUAACACAUGCAAGUCGAGGGGUAACGAUGUAGCUUGCUACAGGCGACGACCGGCGCACGGGUGCGUAACGCGUAUGAAACCUGCCUUAUACUGGGGGAUAGCCCGAAGAAAUUCGGAUUAAUACCCCAUAACAUUGUGAUACCGCAUGGUAUUAUAAUUAAAACUCCGGUGGUAUAAGAUGGUCAUGCGUGACAUUAGCUAGUUGGUGAGGUAAUGGCUCACCAAGGCAACGAUGUCUAGGGGUUCUGAGAGGAAGGUCCCCCACACUGGUACUGAGACACGGACCAGACUCCUACGGGAGGCAGCAGUGAGGAAUAUUGGUCAAUGGACGCAAGUCUGAACCAGCCAUGUCGCGUGCAGGAUGACUGCCCUAUGGGUUUGUAAACUGCUUUUAUACGGGAAGAAUGUGACCUACGUGUAGGUUUUUGCCGGUUACCGUAUGAAUAAGCAUCGGCUAACUCCGUGCCAGC
rnacentral:rRNA from 1 species